UUUUCCCGGAAAAUUAAAGUUUUCCGGGAAAGAAUAAGGGGUUUGGGCGUUCAGGCAGCGGCCAGACAACCGUAGGGAUGGUAUCCACAGAUGAUGGGUUUCUUUUAUCCCAUUUCGUCUACUGAUUCCAUCUCAUAUUU